rnacentral:misc_RNA from 1 species
UCUCUCUCUCUCUCUCUCUCAUGGUGGUGCUGUUAUUGUUGUUUUCCCCCUUUCUCGUGUGUGUUCUUUACUUUUCAUGGCGGAUGGUAAUUUAUUGUCACCAACUUAUAUUUUAUUGACCAUGUUAAAUUGGAGUGAUUAAUAUGUAUCUAUGUGCAAAGGGGAGGGAAUGGGGAUUAACAUGUAAAUAAAUGUUUGCUUGCUUUUCAUGUUUCGAUUGUUGGUUGACCAGAGGUUAUGAACUUUGUUGGCAGCUUCUGCUGCCACUUAGGAUUGUUCAAGUGGGUGAGGACACCACAAUUAUAUAUUCCUUCUGGUGUAUUUUAGACACGAGCAACUAAGGAGAUCAUUAGAAAUAUUUAUUACGUAAAAAUUGUGAAUUUAAAAAUUAUUGUAACCAAGUCAUGGUUAUUUAAGGUGACACUGGAUCUCCAAAGAAAUUACUGGUUUCAUCAUUAAAUAGAAGCUCUUGGUGACAUGCGUGAAAUCUUGACCUCCUAUUUUACCAAGUUGUUCUUUGAAUUUUAUUUGUUUCUAUUAUUAAUUUUUUUUCUGCACUGAAAGUUGUAUAAAAAGGGCAGUUAAUUUGUCGAAUUAUAG